UUCUGUUUCAUAGGUACGAGCCGUAUUCAAAAAUGAAAGGAAGAAGAAAAAUCUCGCCAUGCAUGGCUAUGAUUAUUCUGACGAACAAUCUCUGGACUCUCUUGAAUCAUACAGCGCCAUUUUAGAAAAGAGCAACGGAGAUACUCUGCCUUUGGGCAAAGAUUCGAAAGCUUUAGAAUCACUCAAACACAGACAACGAUCACAGAUAGAAGUGAGUAGUGACGAUGCUUCCGAUUGCGAAAUGAUAACAUCUGUGUGACAUGUACUGUCCUAAUAUACAGUCCUUUAUAUAAUAUUCUACAUUUUAGAGGGAACUAUGAAAGCCGUGAGAUUAUAUGUAUGUUUUCUUGUUACUUUUUCUGUUAUGUUUUUAUUUUUAAAUUUGAUUAUGAUUAUCAUUACCAUUAUUAAAAUUAUUAAUAUUAUUAUUAUUACUAUUUUUAUUGUUUGUAAAAAUUCCAAGACGUAUGAAGAGAAGAUUGGUUGUGUAAGUUUGUAAUUGUUAACUGCUUCUUAAGUAUUAUUUUAUUUCAUAAACACGUGUAUUGUGGCUAAAUAAAGGAUGAAGAUGAUUAAAACACAUUA